rnacentral:misc_RNA from 1 species
GGAAAAUAGAAAGUGGAGGAUAGAUGAUCAUGUUUGAGUUAUCAUUACUGGGAAAUAUAUAUAUAUUUGAUAUAUACAGAAUCAUAAUUUAAUUUUUAUCGAUUUGAUAUCUAUGUUUUUCUUCGUUAAUAAAUAUAUGCCUAACCAUUAGUUAUCAUUAAGUAAAGAUAACAUAACAACACAUAUAGGACACAAUUCAUUGAUCCAACAUUA